rnacentral:lncRNA from 1 species
CUUGAAACAAAAGCUGUGACACGCAACAUGAUUCAUCAUGAGCACAUGCGUUGGUAAUUAUGUCCGACCUGUCACCUGCUUUCACAGAAGUGCUCCUGACGCUUGUUCUUUUCUAAAGCAGCUCACCCAAAUAAAUAUUUUAGCAGCUGCCAUUGAACUUGUGCUCGCUGUAGCUUGAGUAAAAGUGUAAGGAUAGUGCCCCCUUCUGGCCACAUUUUUACAGCGGCUCCCUAAAGGGAGCGCUGAUACAAUGUACACGAGGGCUGUACGCUUCCUUGGUUUAACCCAGAAUCACCGUGUUUGUGCGUAACAUCAGUAUUUUUUAGUCCAAGCCUGCUAAUAAUCUGAACACAAGUUUUGCCUGCUCUGUACUUUGUGGAUGAGCAGUGGCAAUCUGCCCUCUGUAACGUGACCCUGGGGAGGGAGACCAACUCAUUAUAAAUGUGCUUCAGCUGAACCUUCUGGUACUUCAUCGUGUUAGGCUUCUUGCUGCCUGGAGACAGACGCGCUCGGCCAUGACCACUUCCUGCUCUGCCUGCAGCCAUUGUUAUCAUUCUGCCAUCUCCCGGGCAACAUGGGACCGAAAGACCUGCUGUUGGGCGAGGUGGGAUUCCACUCGGAGAUGUCAAAGCUGUACAUUGAUCCGGCCUCUGAGUCAUACGGCAGUGUGACUUCAGUCCUCACGGUGUACUCUGUCUGCACGCUCAUCUGGUCGAAGCACCUGAGAAAGGGCAGAAACGGUCAGUGUGCACACUGGUGGAACCAGGCUCCACCUUCGCUUACCUGAACACGUGAAGAAUCACACACACACACUGCCCUUGGAGUGAGGAUCUGUCUGUGCCCUGCCCCCAACGCUGGCCUUUCAGGAAUAACACUAUGGGGGAGGAAAGGGUGCCUGACACAGUGCCUCCUCCGACUCCUUCACCACUCCCAUCCUGAGAAUGAUUCUCACCUGUGAUUUGACUUGUUUACCCAGUAAGGCCCUUAAAUUGAACAUUGAGCUGUGAAACAUGAAAUCAUGUACAGUCUAACGCCUUAUUUAUUUAUGUACAGUGGCUCAGCGUGACCGUGAAAUAUCCUGAGGUCGGAGAAUUGGAGGUGAGGCAUCUCCAAAGUCUGCCUCGCUGAGUCUGCUGCAGCGAGUCCCUCUUCAUGAAUGAGUCAAACCACAAUGAGUCAGUCCAAUGCAUUACAUGCUCCCCAAACAGUGAGUCUACUAAAAUGACCUUUUGUGUGUACAAGUACUGGUCCGUAUGCUAAAGCAGCCAGUGUGCUGAUCAACAGAUGGAAGAUGUUAGGAUGGCAGAGUAAAAAAGGACAAACUUAAAAACUAAAGCAGAUAUACUCAUCUCCGUG